GCACUUUGUAAAUCACGUGUGAUUUGCAAGUUACGCCUCUUUUGGGGAGAAAUUAAAUAUGCAUAUCAAUACUGCUACUGUUUACAUAGUUGUUGCCAUGGAUGCAAACUAUUUUUUUUUUAAUUAAGACUUGAUUGGAGAUUUAAAUGGAUAUAAAUAAAAAUGUCUAUUUAUUUAACUUAUUUUUCAGGAGGACUGGAAGACAUUUGGGUGUUGAGUCAAAUUUAAUGGAAAAAUUCAGUGCGAUCCUGCAAUGUUUACACAUGGAGGCCAGUAAAACUUGAAAAUAUGCCGCACAGCUAUAUGUUUUUAUUGGUGCAAAAAAAAGUAGUGCAUGUCUCCUUUCCAGGGAAAUAUAACAUUCUCCUCAAAACUUCCUGAAUGAAGUGUGACUGCAUAUGCAUUUUAUGCAGUUCCUAUGGAAAAUUGCAUUGCUGGAUUUACACAAGUGCAACCUAUAAGACCUCGUGCAGCACGACUUCCCGGUUCAAUGGGAACCCCAGCCGCUUUACAGAGUUUAACGAUGGAUUCUCCAGGGCCAUUAUUUACAUUGUGUAUAGCUAAACAACAUUAGCACUGUGUUGCAUACUUGAAGUGGAAGGAGCUGGUAUAUUAGAACCAAGAAAUAAUUUCUGUAGACCAGUUGUGCUGAUAGCUAUGUGAUUAAGUGCGACUUGUAUGGAUAGAUUAAUAGCUGCUGUUCGACGACCACGUUUCUUAGCGACCACCUCAUUGUAAAGGUUGAACAUUUUUGAAUGGAGGACUGGAAGACAUUUGGGUGUUGAGUCAAAUUUAAUGGAAAAAUUCAGUGCGAUCCUGCAAUGUUUACACAUGGAGGCCAGUAAAACUUGAAAAUAUGCCGCACAGCUAUAUGUUUUUAUUGGUGCAAAAAAAAGUAGUGCAUGUCUCCUUUCCAGGGAAAUAUAACAUUCUCCUCAAAACUUCCUGAAUGAAGUGUGACUGCAUAUGCAUUUUAUGCAGUUCCUAUGGAAAAUUGCAUUGCUGGAUUUACACAAGUGCAACCUGUAAUCACUUUUUUUUUGUUUUUUUACCUUUUUCCAAAGUUUUAAAGAUUUUUUUUUUUACAUUUUAAUUUUAGCACCCCUUUAUUCUGUAUUCUUUAUUUUUUGUCCACCUUCUCUUUUUUGGGGGGUAGGGGCAUUAUUCUCUAUUCUGUAAACUUCAUCCACAACCUCUUAUAUCU